GAUUAACGCUGGCGGCGUGCCUAACACAUGCAAGUCGAACGAUGACACAUUGUAGACUUGUUCGUAAAGACACUGAGCGGCUUAGUGGCGAACGAGUGAGUAACACGUGCUUAUCCUUCCUUACACAAGUGGAUAGCCUUAGGCUACGACGAAUAAUACCCUAUAAGACUAAACAGGCACAUUCUAUAAUGUUCAAUGUUGAAGCGGUGGAUGUUGGACUUGCGUCUGAUUAGCUAGAUGGUGCGGUAAAAGCUCACCAAGGAAACGAUCCGUAGCCGGCUUGAGAGCGGGUACGGCAACAUUGGGACUGAGACACGGCCGGAACAUCGACGGGAGGCAGCAAUGGGGAAUUUGGCACAAUGGGGGAAUCAAGGAGGCAGCGACGCCGCGAGAUUGUGAAGGCCUUCGGGUUGUAAAAAUCUUUUGUAUAGGAAGAAAAUGACAGUACUAAACGAAUAAGCACCGGCUAAUUACGUG
rnacentral:rRNA from 1 species